rnacentral:rRNA from 1 species
AACGAACGCUGGCGGCAGGCUUAACACAUGCCAGUCGAGCGCACCCUUCGGGGUGAGCGGCGGACGGGUGAGUAACGCGUGGGAACGUGCCCUCUUCUACGGAAUAGCCUCGGGAAACUGAGAGUAAUGCCGUAUACGCCCGCAAGGGGAAAGAUUUAUCGGAGGAGGAUCGGCCCGCGUUGGAUUAGGUAGUUGGUGGGGUAACGGCCUACCAAGCCGACGAUCCAUAGCUGGUUUGAGAGGAUGAUCAGCCACACUGGGACUGAGACACGGCCCAGACUCCUACGGGAGGCAGCAGUGGGGAAUCUUGGACAAUGGGGGCAACCCUGAUCCAGCCAUGCCGCGUGAUCGAUGAAGGCCUUAGGGUUGUAAAGAUCUUUCAGCUGGGAAGAUAAUGACGGUACCAGCAGAAGAAGCCCCGGCUAACUCCGUG